GCAAUCUGUGUGACUGCGUACCUUUUGUAUAAUGGGUCAGCGACUUAUAUUCUGUAGCAAGGUUAACCGAAUAGGGGAGCCGAAGGGAAACCGAGUCUUAACUGGGCGUUAAGUUGCAGGGUAUAGACCCGAAACCCGGUGAUCUAGCCAUGGGCAGGUUGAAGGUUGGGUAACACUAACUGGAGGACCGAACCGACUAAUGUUGAAAAAUUAGCGGAUGACUUGUGGCUGGGGGUGAAAGGCCAAUCAAACCGGGAGAUAGCUGGUUCUCCCCGAAAGCUAUUUAGGUAGCGCCUCGUGAAUUCAUCUCCGGGGGUAGAGCACUGUUUCGGCAAGGGGGUCAUCCCGACUUACCAACCCGAUGCAAACUGCGAAUACCGGAGAAUGUUAUCACGGGAGACACACGGCGGGUGCUAACGUCCGUCGUGAAGAGGGAAACAACCCAGACCGCCAGCUAAGGUCCCAAAGUCAUGGUUAAGUGGGAAACGAUGUGGGAAGGCCCAGACAGCCAGGAUGUUGGCUUAGAAGCAGCCAUCAUUUAAAGAAAGCGUAAUAGCUCACUGGUCGAGUCGGCCUGCGCGGAAGAUGUAACGGGGCUAAACCAUGCACCGAAGCUGCGGCAGCGACGCUUAUGCGUUGUUGGGUAGGGGAGCGUUCUGUAAGCCUGUGAAGGUGUACUGUGAGGUAUGCUGGAGGUAUCAGAAGUGCGAAUGCUGACAUAAGUAACGAUAAAGCGGGUGAAAAGCCCGCUCGCCGGAAGACCAAGGGUUCCUGUCCAACGUUAAUCGGGGCAGGGUGAGUCGACCCCUAAGGCGAGGCCGAAAGGCGUAGUCGAUGGGAAACAGGUUAAUAUUCCUGUACUUGGUGUUACUGCGAAGGGGGGACGGAGAAGGCUAUGUUGGCCGGGCGACGGUUGUCCCGGUUUAAGCGUGUAGGCUGGUUUUCCAGGCAAAUCCGGAAAAUCAAGGCUGAGGCGUGAUGACGAGGCACUACGGUGCUGAAGCAACAAAUGCCCUGCUUCCAGGAAAAGCCUCUAAGCAUCAGGUAACAUCAAAUCGUACCCCAAACCGACACAGGUGGUCAGGUAGAGAAUACCAAGGCGCUUGAGAGAACUCGGGUGAAGGAACUAGGCAAAAUGGUGCCGUAACUUCGGGAGAAGGCACGCUGAUAUGUAGGUGAAGUCCCUCGCGGAUGGAGCUGAAAUCAGUCGAAGAUACCAGCUGGCUGCAACUGUUUAUUAAAAACACAGCACUGUGCAAACACGAAAGUGGACGUAUACGGUGUGACGCCUGCCCGGUGCCGGAAGGUUAAUUGAUGGGGUCAGCGCAAGCGAAGCUCUUGAUCGAAGCCCCGGUAAACGGCGGCCGUAACUAUAACGGUCCUAAGGUAGCGAAAUUCCUUGUCGGGUAAGUUCCGACCUGCACGAAUGGCGUAAUGAUGGCCAGGCUGUCUCCACCCGAGACUCAGUGAAAUUGAACUCGCUGUGAAGAUGCAGUGUACCCGCGGCAAGACGGAAAGACCCCGUGAACCUUUACUAUAGCUUGACACUGAACAUUGAGCCUUGAUG
rnacentral:rRNA from 1 species